GGGAAGCAGAGACGCAUAGUGGUGGCUUCUCCAACACUCCGUCCUGUGUCUCCAGAAAAGGCAACAUCAUUUGCAGCAAGCGACCUUCCGAGAGCAAAGAGGAAGCUGCCGUGCUUUCCAAGGCGAUGUGGGCAAGGCUGCCGCUCCUCGCUUGCCCCCUUUCAGAGAGCUGGAAGCCAAGGAGAAAUGGAUGUGCGGCGGCUCCGCUGUGAACAGAGAUCACGAGCGCGACUCACUCAACAACUAGCCAGCCACGACGGUGACAGCCCCAAGCGUCGCAGUGGGAGCGCGGAGUGCCUCCAGCUCUCCCAUUGGCUAGCUCCGUUUGGAAACGUCAUGAAGGAGGUGUGGCUUUCAUCAGCUGUUUGGGUAAUGCCAGGAAGCAAGUGUAUUUUGGAAACAAUGCCGUGUGGUGCAGGCGUCGGCGGCGCCUGAGGUUGCAGCCCGGGGACUUUCCGGCUCCCGCUCUUUCCGCUGGCCGCUCCUUCUGGCGCAGCUGCAACUGAGGGUUCCGCUUUUGGGGGUUCGCGGAGCCCGUCUUGGAAAGCGCGGGCUCACUUUCUGUCUUUCGUCUACGUCGGACGUCGCUGGCUGCAGAGCCCCAACAGCACAUCUGCCCACGUGUCGUCGCGACGGGGGCAGCAGGUGAAAUGGAUCCUCCUGGUUACCUGGAGGAUGACUUCUCCAACCUGGAUGGCUUGGAUGAUGAUGUGUUCCAUGCGGAGAACUGUGGACUUGUCGCUCAGGCCAGCGAGAUGCCCUUUCCUGGCAUUUUCACACAGAGCAAAUCUUACAGCUGCCUCCUGGGAAGGUUCCAGCUUUUCCCACUUACCCAUUGUUGUGGUCCAGGCCCCAGGCACGCCAAGCAGCAAGACAAGGCAACUCAAACACUCUCUCUACCAUCUUCCAGCCAGGAUGUCAUGUUACCUUGUGGUGUCACUGAAGAACCACAGAGACUCUUCUAUGGGAAUGCUGGGUACCGUUUACAUGUCAACCCAAUUGGUUUCUCACUGAAUCCACACCUCCAGGAGGAGCCUCGGGAAAGUCCACAGGAACUGCAUACUGAAGUUCAAAUAGCACGGAAGUUACAGUGCAUCGCAGACCAGUUCCACAGGCUUCACCUACAGAGGCACCAGCAGAACAGAAAUCACGUCUGGUGGCAGAUUCUUCUCUUCCUCCAUAACAUGGCCUUGAACAUGGAGGCCCAUGGACACCGUGCAGGUCGGAGGUGAGACUUGCCCCGCCUCUUCCAGGUCACAUCCAGGCUGCUGGGAGCACUGAACAAAUCCAGGGCAGAGAUGGCAUGCCGCUGGACAGAUGUGAGGUUCCUGUGAAGCUGAGGACACUUGUUUAAAGGAUUUGCGUUCUCUCUUUGGGCUUCCUGACUUCUGAGAUGGGUAUUUUUAUUCUGAAGAGCACUAAUGCAGUUUCAGGGAGCCAGCUAUGGGCCUACACAACCUGGAAAGCAACUGUUACUGUUAUGCAAGUAUUUGUACAGGUGAACCCCAUUAUCCACACAGGUUUCAUUCUCUGCUACAACUGCAGAUAACGGAACUGUGGAUAACGAGGCAUUGAGGCAAUGGGACUCCAAGGUGGGGGUUGGUUCCUGGAGGCUUGAAAAAUGGCAGAAAAUAGUAAAAACUGGCCCUAAAUAUGGGAGGAGGGAGUGCCCUACCAUGCUUUGUAGGUCUCUGGUGGUCCAACAAUGCUCCUCAAAAGUCCCAACUGUGCCAUGUUCCUGUGAAAAUCUUUUUGGGGAGGUUAAAAAAUGAGCCACAAAAUGGCUCCUUUCCUCAAAAUGGUGGCAGGAAAUGAACUCGGAAGUAAUUUCUGUUUACUCCAAAAUGGCAGAUAGGUGGAAAUUAACUCUCCCUCGCCCCCACGUAUCCUGGGACAGUGUAUAGUCAGGUCCACCUGUAUGUAACUUCUUGCUGUGCAAAGUGUUUCCUAAUUCUUAUUGUCUUGCAUCUUCACAACAUUCAUGUGAAACAAGAAAGGUAGACUUGCCUGGUAUGUCUUGUGUGGGGGACAAAAGAGGACCAAGCUCCUGUCCAUUGUAUAGAAGAGGGAAUUUUAGCAGGUCCAGCUUUAAUACAGGUGUGAGGAAAAAGCUUAAAUUUCAUCUGAGGCAUAUCUGUUAUAGGCAGAGGAAUCCUGUUCUCCCUUUCCCUCUCCUCAUCUUCUUGUUUUCCCAUGUAAAUGAAGGGAUUUUAACGUAAGCAGCCACCUGCCAACACGCGCCCCGCCCCCAAUGCCUUUAAACAUCAUAUUCAGCACAUUGUUCUAAACUCACGGUAGGCAACACUAUAUUCACUUCAGUCUGCUUGAGCGAAGGGACUGUAAUGUUCUUCAUAACAACAGCCCUGCUGGAUCAAGCCCAUGGCCUAUCUAGCCCAGCAUCCUGUUCUCCUCCUUGGCCCACCAGAUGCCUCUGGGAAGCCCACAGGGCAUGCCCUCUCUCCUGCUGUUGCUCCCCUGCAACUGGUAUGCACAGGAAUCUAGGGAUAUGCAUGAACUUCGGUUUCUGCAGUGGUUCGAAGCCGGACCAGUUCAGCAGGUCGAGUGCGGCGUGGUGGCAAGGGCGAGUGGCACCUUUAAAAGUGAGGACCAGGUCCUUGCCUGCUCCACACAGCUUCCUACUGUGGUGUUGUGCACCCCCCAUCAGCCCACUCACAGUGGCAGCGCACCGCUGUCUCGCACAUGACCACUGCACAUCCAUGACAGUCACUUGUGUGGUCAGCAAGGUUGCUGACCACACAAAUGGCUGCUGCACAUGCAUGAUGGCACCACGAGUGGGCUGAUGGGAGCACCAUCGCUGCACACUGGCUGAUGGGGGGUGGGGCGACACUGCAGCUGGAAGCUGAGUGGAACAGCAGUGGAACAGCCUGCUGUCCUCACUUUUAAAGGUGCUGCUUGCCACCAUGCUUCGCUCGACCUGCCGAAAUGGUUUCGCCAGACCCGCUGAACCGCUUUGGCUUCAAACCAGUGCAUGAACUGAGGUUUGUGCACUUCCCUACUUGCCUCUGAGUCUAGAGGUGGCCUAUAGCCCUCAGACUAGUAGCUAUUGAUAGAUCUGCCCUCCAUGAAUUUGUCUAAGCCCCUUGUAAAGUCAGUUGUAAAGUAGUUUUGUUUUCCAGUCCUUUUCCUAAUGAUUCUGAGCAUGGAAUUUGCCUUUUUCACAGCUUCCACACACUGAGACAAUACUUUCAACGAGCUGUCCACCACGACCCCAAGAUCCCUCUCCUGGUCAGUCACCGACAGAUCAGACCCCAUCAGCGUAUAUGUGAAGCUGGGGCUUUUUACCCCAGUGUGCAUCACUUCACACUUGCUUACAUUGAACCUCAUUUGCCAUCUUGUUGUCCAGUCCCCGCCCCCGAGAGAUCCUUUUGGAAACACCUCACAAUCUGUUUUGGAUUUUACUAUAAUUUGGUGUCAUCUGCAAAUCUGGCCACCUUGCUGCUUACCCCAACUUCUAGAUCAUUUAUCAAUAAAUUAACAAGUUGUUCUGAUAAGAACUAAUUUGCCUACUUUCCUUUCACUAUGAUCUUCAUUGAUUAUUACCUUCUUCACAAGAUAGCCCAUUUCAGCCUUAAAUGUUCACACAUAUACCGUCUUGAAUUGGGGUGGAUGACAUCAUCACAAACUACGCUGUUGAAGGUGUCUGUAUGUGUUCUUACAGCUGUAGCAAAUUUGGUUUAAAUUGGUUAGGUAGUACACAAGUUGGCCCACUUGCACCUCAAAUGUUUACACGUCUGCCAUCUUGAAUUGGGGUGGAUGACAUCAUCACAAACUCUGCUGCUGAGGUGUCACUACAACUGUACCCAAUUUGGUUCAUAUUGGUACAGGCAUUGGAAAGUUGAUGGAGGUAGGAUGCACGUACACACACACACACGAUGCUGGAUGAUCUCAUAAGCUUACUUUCCCUAAGGAAAGUAGGCUAAAAAGCACUGGUCCCAGUAUAGAUCCCCAGGGGACCCCACUUCUUCCCUCCAUUGUGAAAACUGUCCAUUUAUUCCUACCCUCUGUUUCCUGUCCUUCAACCAGUUACCUGUCCGCUUAUCCUGUGACUGCUAGGUUUACUGAAGAGCCUUGGAUGAGAAACUCUGUUGAAAGCCUUUUGGAAGUCCAAGUAUACUGUGUCAACCUCUCCCCUCUUAAGAUAAAUGCUCUGGUCCAAUUGACAUAAAGAUGGCCAAAGGUUUUGAAAAAGGCUUGAAGAUGGGUUCCUAGGCAAAGCACCUGAGGGAGCUGUAUAUCUGCCUUCCUUGGGUACUUUUGAAAAUUCUGUUACUAAAAUGUAGCCACCAAAAAAAAUUAAGCCACAUUUACUAUAAAAUGUUGGUGUUACGGCUUUUUGUAAUUAUCUCCCUUUUAAAUGAUGUGUAUUUUAAAGGGGGGAUUUUAAAUCUGAUUUGUGUGGAAUACCAUGUAAAGAAUAAUCUGAGGGGGGGGGGUGUCUGUCUCACUGGACUCUGACUUUUUAUAGAAGAAACUAACUUUGGAUUAGCCAGUUGCACUGGGAAAGCAGGUGGAUGAUAGAGAAAGCUCUCCACGUUUUUAAAAAUUCUUAAUUAUAGUAUGUUCAUGUUGUAUACAUCUUAGAUUUCUUCCAGCUGAGGGACUGACUUUCUUGCAAGAUCCUUGGCAAACAUGGUCCUGAAGUGCACAGACCUCUCCUUUCCCAUGGACUGAGACCCAGUGAGAAUGUAGCAUUUUGUCUAUCCCGGUUGUGUGCCUUCAGGACUCCUCUGCCUUGACCAUUGGUGACUCAGAGGAGCUCCCUUUUUGUAUAUUUAAAGUAUAUUUUCUUCUGGCUUUUUCUGUUUGGUGCUUUUAAACAUAUUUGAAAUUCAUCUUGGUUCCCCCCACCCCACCCCUUAACUGGUACAAUUUAAUAAAAUGGUUAAAUCAAA